CACCCAUACCGCACUGAACACCACCGGUUCUCUUACGAUCGACGAAGUUAAGCGACCUCCAGCCUGGUCAGUACCUACAUUGGUGACCUCUUUGGAAUAUCAAGUGCAG